UGCGCAUAUCAAUUGAUCUUU
ensembl:piRNA 21ur-1448 ncRNA